rnacentral:rRNA from 1 species
UACGAAGGGGGCUAGCGUUGCUCGGAAUCACUGGGCGUAAAGCGCACGUAGGCGGCUUUUUAAGUCAGGGGUGAAAUCCUGGAGCUCAACUCCAGAACUGCCUUUGAUACUGAGAGGCUCGAAGUCCGGGAGAGGUGAGUGGAACUGCGAGUGUAGAGGUGAAAUUCGUAGAUAUUCGCAAGAACACCAGUGGCGAAGGCGGCUCACUGGCCCGGUACUGACGCUGAGGUGCGAAAGCGUGGGGAGCAAACAGG